CUCCGAUAAAGACUGUCCUCACAGACACCUAAAGACUGUCCUCACAUAAAGACUGAAAUGUGCUAUACAGAUAAAGUUUGACUGAUUGAUAUGAUCUAUAUUAUUAUUAUUAUUAUUAUUAUUAUUUCUUGUAUUUGAACAGGGACAGUGUAUAGACAGUAUAUAACAAGGAGAGAUGCAUUGCACCGGGUUUUAGUCCGUGGGCAGGUAGACGGAACAUACAAUCAAUUAAAAACAGAUACUAAAUUCACAGUUGUGCAAAAUUUCAAUUACAAAGUUAUGAAUACACACAUUCCCACAUCAUUAAGACAAUUUAAAACAAUUAAUUGAUUCUGGUUCCUAUUGAUUCUGGUUCCUACUGAUUCUGGUUCCUACUGAUUCUGGUUCCUACUGAUCUGGUUCCUACUGAUUCUGGUUCCUACUGAUUCUGGUUCCAACUGAUUCUGGUUCCUAUUGAUUCUGGUUCCUAUUGAUUCUGGUUCCUACUGAUUCUGGUUCCUAUUGAUUCUGGUUCCUAUUGAUUCUGGUUCCAACUGAUUCUGGUUCCAACUGAUUCUGGUUCCUAUUGAUUCUGGUUCCUACUGAUUCUGGUUCCUACUGAUUCUGGUUCUCAUUCAUAUUUAAGUUUAGAAGCUUGUUGUGUCGUUUCCUUUGUGGAUUCACUGCGGUUACACUGCGUCCCCAUGAAUGAACUAAAGAGGACAACUAACAGUAAAACAACCUUUCAGUGAAAUAAACACCUUUACUCACACCGAUACUACAGCUGAACCUCGGGGUAACAACUACUGCCCCACAGACACACACACAGAUACUACAGCUGAACCUCGGGGUAACAACUACUGCCCCACAGACACACACAGAUACACACACACACACACACACACACACAUACAUACA
rnacentral:lncRNA from 15 species